GGGGUUGUACUGGCUUUGACAGUAAAGACGUUGGUUUGUAAGCAUGCCGAGACUUGGACGUUAGCUCGUAAAUCAGAAUAUCCAAAACACAAAUGGCAACAACGCCUACCAAAUGGCUGCUUAAUUCUAGGUAGUUAAGCGCUAUUAGUUCCACACUGUGCUUCGCUCGAUUGGCGGGCGGUGUUUCUGGAGCUUCAAAAACAACAAUCGAGAUAGCCCGCGUGGAUACCUCGACACAAAGGCGAAACCCUAAUUGGGGGUAAGGGAGUGGUUGGUUAAGUUUUGUUCCUGCCACACCCCGACAAGCAAUACAAAACUAAGCAUGUAGAAAGCUUAUCGGUGAUUUAUCUGGACGAGGGUUCGAGUCCCUCCAGCUCCACCC
rnacentral:tmRNA from 1 species